GGGUACAAAUAUUUCCGGUUUGGAAUUAGAAGAGAGUGAAGGAGAAAGGUUCUGACGGAAAUAGAAAUGCCCCUACCGGAAGUCUUUUCUUUAACAUCAGUAACUUUAUUGUUACGUAUUGUUAAAAUUAUGGACAACUGCCCUAAGUCACCUCGCCCGCCAGAGUCUUGGUGAACUCCAGCAUCUAGUGCCUUUCUUCUCACAGCUGAGUAGUCUGGGAGUUUAGUGAGAUUUUUUCAUGUUGGUGUUUCCGCCACUUAGAUCAAAACCAAUAACAGCAACUUUUCCAUCAUCCAGUAAUAUCCCUGUUUAAAAAAAACCAAUUUAUGGAAACACAAAAAAAAAUUAUGUGUAUGUGUGUUAAACCUUCUCUGUGUAUAAGUUGGUUAUCUCAGGAAUUUAUGGUAGUAAUGGAAAGACAUGUAAAGGGUAUAUUAUUCUGCCACUAAGUCAUUGCAGAGAUUUGAGCCACAAAAUAAAUGAUAAUAGUAUCGGAUUGUAAUCUAUAUAAUAAAAUAAUUACCCUUUUGUCUAUACUGAUAUAAAAACAGGGAAGAGACAACCUUCUAUCUUAGAGAAGAAUUCCAAAUCAAUAAACAUAAAAAAAAUUAGAGAAAUAGAAAAAUCAUCAUUAGGACAUCAAAAUAAUAAUUGUAGCAGACAAGAUAGACGAAUGGAUAUUAAAAUGAGUCAUCAAAAGUUUGAGGAGAAAUGGAAAUUUGCAAAACACCCAAAUGAUAUUGCCAAGUGUGUAUUAAUAGCAAGGGGAACAGUAACUUCAGAGGGAAGAAACCUGGUAAACCACCUUAACCAUGUAAUCUAAGUCAACAUCAUCAUAAAACUCCUUGACAUAACAAUUUGAAAGCAUGGUUUACCUUCUGUGGCAUUCCUACCAAAAAUGGGAAAAACUUAUUUUACUCAUGAAAAACAUCAGAUGAAUUCAAAUUGAAGGACAUCCUACAGAAUAUUGAUCAGUAUUCUUCCAAAGGUCAUGAAAGACCAGGAAAGACGAAGGAACUGUUGUUAGAUAUUGGAGGAGACUGGGGAGGCAUCCCAAUACAAUGUGGAAUCCUGGGGGAUUGGAUCCUGGGGCAGAAAAAGGAAAAUUGUGGUGAAGAUAAAUUGCAAAAUACAGAAAUUCAAAUAAGGUCUGUAGUUAGGUAAUAGUAUUGUCCCAGUGUUAAUUUCAUGUCUUUAAUUAUAUCCAUGGUUAGGUAAGAUGAUAACAUUAGGGGGAGCUGUGGGAAGGGCAUACCUGAACUCCCUGUACAACUUUUGCAACUUCUCUAAAGUCUAAAAUUCUCUUCAAAAAUUUCAUGUUGUAGAAAACGUUUAUCUUCUUGGUGAAAAAUGACUGGGUUAUGAUUAAGACAAAUGAAAUAGUGUGUGGUCCUAUUAACCAAAGUGAACACUCCCAAAGCAUUAACAGAUGGUUCUUUUUUCUUUGUUUCUUGUGUGUGUGUGUGUGUGUGUGUGUGUGUGUGUGUGUGUAUGCACACACAUUGACUUUUACACUCAAGAAUAAGUAUGUUAAUCAACUUUCCAUUACUGUAUUAAAUUCCAGAGAUAAUUAUAAAGAGAAAAGUUUUAUUCUGACUCAGUUUCAGAGGUUUCAGCCCAUAAUUACUUGGCUUGGCUGCUUUAGUGAAGAAACACAUCAUGGAGGGAGCACAUGACAAAGAAAAACCACUCGAUUCAUGGCUAGGAAGCAAAAGAAUGAAGAAGAAGGGGCCAGGAUCCCACUAUCCCCUUCAAGGUCACACCCCAGUGAUCUAAAGACCUCCCACUACGCCCAAACUCUUAAAGUUUGCAGAAACUCCUUAGUCAAAUUGCCGUUGCUGUGACAAAAUACCUGAGAUAAGCAACUUAAAAGGAGAAACGAUUGAUUAUGGGUCAUGUUUCUGAGAUUUCAAUCCAUGAUUUCUUGGCCCGUAUUGGCCUUGGGCCUAUUGCAAGGCGGCAGGCACAUCUCGGCAGAAGUACUUGGCAGAAAGGAAGGCGGGAGAGAAAGAGAUCAAAGUGCCCAGGUCCAGCUGUCUCCUUGAAGGGCAUGCCCCAGUGACCUCACUUCCUUUCACAAGGUUCCACCUCCAAAUGGCACCACAGACUGGUGACCAAGCCAUCAGCCCAUGGUAGGCUAAUCUCUACAAUCUCAGAUAUAAGAUUGAAUUCUGUAGAGACAAUACCCCAGAUAUUAUCUUUCAAGUGGUGAUGAGCUUUUCCCUGAAUCACUGGACACUAUAACAGAUACAAUUAAAGUGUUAAUUUCCUACUACAAUUCUCACAGUAUCUUUAUUCAAGUGUUGGUAAUUGUUUCAAUAAAUCAUUCGAAUUGAUACAAUAAACACUUCUAUUGCCUAUGUCCAUAAGUACAAGGUACACAUAUAUAUUCAUGAUGUGUGUGUGAGAGAGAGAAUGAGAAGAAAAUUUUACAUGGACCAUCUUCAGGAGAGGACAAAAUGAAGUCGGAGCA